rnacentral:lncRNA from 1 species
GUAGGAAUAUUGAAUAAAGAGCUGAGAUGAGUGGGUCAGACCCAUUUAGUGUGCCAAAGUAGCUUUUCCUAUAAGCCAAGGAAAAAUAAAACAGCUUUUCCUAUAAGCCAAGGAAGAAUAAAACAGUUCUUUAAUCACCACUCACCUGAGAACUUAUGCUACCUUUCUUUUGAUCUUUUCACCUCUCUUUUCUUUGGCUACCUCUUUUACAUGUCUCUCCGCUCUGUAUUUCUACACACUUUGAUAUGGUUUGGCUCUGUGUCUCCACCCAAAUCUCACUUGAAUUGUAAUACCAUGUAUCAGGAGAGGGACCUGGUGGGAGGUGAUUGGAUCAUGGGGGCAGUUUCCCCCAUGCUUUUCUUAUGACAGUGAGCUUAUAGGCGGAAGGGAUUUACCUUAUCUCAGAUGAGACUUUGGACUUGGAAUUUUGAGUUAAUGCUGGAAUGAUUUAAGACUUUGGGGGACUGUUGGGAAGGCAUGAUUGGUUUUGAAAUGUAUAAAGGACAUGAGAUUUGGGAAGAGCCGGGGCAGAAUGAUAUGGUUUGGCUCUGUGUCUCCACCCAAGUCUCAUCUCAAAUCGUAAUUUCCACGUGUCAGGGAAGGACCUGGUGGGAGGUGACUGGAUCAUGGAGGUGGCUUCCCCAUGCUGUUCUCAUGAUAAUGAGUGAGUUCUCAUGAGAUGUGAUGGUUUAAAAGUGUCUGGCAGCCCCCUGGCCCUCAUGCUGUCUCUCCUGCCAGUAUGAAAAGACAUGCCUUGCUUCCCCUUUGCCUUCCAUCAUGAUUGUAAGCUUCCUGAUGCCUCCCCAGCCAUGCAGAACCAUGAGUCAACUAAACCUUUUUCUUUUAUAAAUUACCCAGUCUCAGUUGUUCUUUCUAGCAGUGUGAAAACAGAUUAAUACACACUUGUAUCUUUGGAUUUUGUUUUCUUUUGUAUCUCCUCCUUCCUUGCCCUUCCCUCAACCCCCACCUGGCUUUAAAUCUUUCUCUCUGUUCCUCUUCCUGUUCACACUUCCCUUUCUCCUCUUUCUUAUCUAGAUACAGAUGGAAUUAAAUCACUUUUUUGUAGUUUUUCUUUUUAUUUUAUGUUAGAUAUAGUUGGACACAUUUUUAAUUAAAAAAGCUAUCUCUGAGGAAAUCUCUGUGACUUAUUUUCCUUGGUUUAUAAAUGUGCCAUGACAAAACUGAUAUAAUAAUGAGGGUUUUUUUUUUUAAGUUUGGAAAAAAGUGAUUUAAAUCACUUUUCUGGGAGAUGUUUGGGUUUUUGGUUAACUCUCUUCUCUAUUGGUAAGAACCUCUCAAUAGACUUUUUACUGUCCUGCCCCUUAUGUAAUCAAAUGAUUAACUUAUCUGAUUUAUCAGAAUUAAAUUGGUUUCUGACAGAAUCACUGCUUAUCUAUACAGUGUUUUAGUGUGAGUUGAAACACUGUGCUCCUUCUUCAAAACAUUAUAAUUUUCAGUUGGAAAAUUAUCCUAAUAAACUUAUUUUUUUUAUAA